CCGAUGCGGACAUCCUGUGAGGUUGCUCUUGCAUGGCUCUGUCCUUGUGGCGUAUGGGAGCGUAGCACUACGGUGCUGUGACGUAGAGUCCCGUUUCCACAGCAUCGUAGAGCGAGCUUUGUCCCCCGGCCCUCUGGGCUGAUGAAGACGGGCGUUCUGUAUAUUCCUACAUCUUCCCAGAGCUCCUUGGGCCAUGACUGGGGGGCUAAACCAUGCAUUGCACAGCU
rnacentral:snoRNA from 2 species